rnacentral:rRNA from 1 species
AGUGAACGCUGGCGGUAGGCCUAACACAUGCAAGUCGAACGGCAGCACAGUAAGAGCUUGCUCUUACGGGUGGCGGGUGGCGGACGAGUGAGGAAUACAUCGGAAUCUACUUUUUCGUGGGGGAUAACGUAGGGAAACUUACGCUAAUACCGCAUACGACCUACGGGUGAAAGCAGGGGAUCUUCGGACCUUGCGCGAUUGAAUGAGCCGAUGUCGGAUUAGCUAGUUGGCGGGGUAAAGGCCCACCAAGGCGACGAUCCGUAGCUGGUCUGAGAGGAUGAUCAGCCACACUGGAACUGAGACACGGUCCAGACUCCUACGGGAGGCAGCAGUGGGGAAUAUUGGACAAAGGGCGCAAGCCUGAUCCAGCCAUACCGCGUGGGUGAAGAAGGCCUUCGGGUUGUAAAGCCCUUUUGUUGGGAAAGAAAAGCAGCAGGUUAAUACCCCGCUGUUCUGACGGUACCCAAAGAAUAAGCACCGGCUAACUUCGUG